CAGUCUUCUGAAAUAAAUUAUUUCCCAUGGUUUAAAUGAUUUGCUUAGGCCAUUUCUGUCCAUAUAUAACCAACCUGUACCUCUUAUCAGUGGUCUUACUAUCCAGAAUUAACUGAACUCAACAUUUGGAAGGAACCGAUUGUGGAAUAUGAAUUGUAUUGGCGAUAACCUUUCUAUACUUGGAAUGUCCCAAAACUAGGGACUCCUGAGGUUUGGGCACUUGUUAGCUCACUAUUCUAAUUUCUGAUGUGGUACGUGCUUUAUCAUAUUCCUUCACUUUAGUGUCUCUUACCUGCUAUGCUUUAACUGCUUCCUUUCACUGAAUUUUAUUAGUAUUUAAAUAUGCUCCAGGCUCUUCCAUCUAAAAGCAACUAU
rnacentral:lncRNA from 1 species